CAUCCGGUCGAUCCUGCCGGAAUCCGACGCUCUCCCCAAGGACACAAGCCAUGCAUGCCCGCACACCCGGGAGGCGGCGGACGGCUCAGGACAACGGUUGCACCCCCCGCGGCGGUCCCUGCUAGCCGGACACCGCUGGCAACCCGGCGCCAAGACGUGCGCGCAAGUGCGGGCGCCCGCGGGCGAGCAGCGUGACGCAGCGACGGCCCGC
rnacentral:rRNA from 1 species